GAUGAACGCUGGCGGCGUGCUUAACACAUGCAAGUCGAACGGAAAGGCCCAAGCUUGCUUGGGUACUCGAGUGGCGAACGGGUGAGUAACACGUGGGUGAUCUGCCCUGCACUUCGGGAUAAGCCUGGGAAACUGGGUCUAAUACCGGAUAGGACCACAUUUUGGAUGGUGUGGUGGAAAGUUUUUCGGUGUGGGAUGAGCUCGCGGCCUAUCAGCUUGUUGGUGGGGUAAUGGCCUACCAAGGCGUCGACGGGUAGCCGGCCUGAGAGGGUGUACGGCCACAUUGGGACUGAGAUACGGCCCAGACUCCGACGGGAGGCAGCAGUGGGGAAUAUUGAACAAUGGGCGCAAGCCUGAUGCAGCGACGCCGCGUGGGGGAUGACGGCCUUCGGGUUGUAAACUCCUUUCGCUAGGAACGAAGCGUUAUGUGACGGUACCUGGAGAAGAAGCACCGGCUAACUACGUG
rnacentral:rRNA from 1 species